AUUUUUGACUCAAGCUUAGGAAGCUGAGUCUUCUUUUAUAACCAGUGUACUUGGAUCGACAAUUUUGCACACCAUAGCACUUUAAUUGUUGCACUCCUUGCUGUUGUUAGUGACCAUCUUUCAAGCAAGCAGCAACAUGCCGAACUAACCUGGAUCAAUCUUAAUCGGCUUCAACAUUAGAGUCAAUGAAGCCCUUUUUUGGUGCAAUUGUUAUGCCAGAAUUGCUGAAGCACCAGGAUAGUGAUAUCAAGCUUAUAGUUGCAGCAUGUCUCUAUGAGAUAACUCAAAUCACUGCACCUGAAGCUCCUUACAAUGAUGAUUUUCUAAAGGACAUUUUUCAGUUGAUUGUGGGCACUUUUAGUGGUCUGAGUAAUACAAGUGGUUCAUCCUUUGACCAGAGAGUUGCUAUACUGGAAAGAGUUAUAUUGAAUGAAGUUAUAUUGUUUACUUGAAAGCUUCUGCUAUUAAGCUUCAUGAGAUUGCAAACUUGAUAUUUUGUUGGUGCACGUAGUUCUGGAGUCUGUUCUUUUUUCCUAGUAAAAUAAUAUGAUAAAAUGAAUUAAAGAUAAUUAGACAAACAAAAACUAUAUCUUAUUUGUAUACUUGGAAUGCGAUGUUUUGGAAUGGAGAGACAAAUAUUGUAAUUUUGAAAUAGUGAAACU